CCUACGGGCGGCAGCAGUGAGGAAUAUUGGUCAAUGGGCGCUAGCCUGAACCAGCCAAGUAGCGUGAAGGAUGACUGCCCUAUGGGUUGAAAACUUUUUUUAUAUGGGAAUAAAGUGCAGUUUGAAUACUGCAUUGCAUGUACCUUAUGAAUAAGGAUAGGCCAACCCCGUGCCAGCAGCCGAGGUAAGACGGAGGAUCCGAGCGUUACCCGGAUUGAUUGGGUGUAAAGGGGGCGCAGGCGGUGAUGUAAGCUAGGAGUGAAAGCCCCGGGCCUAACCCCGGAACUGCAUUUGGAACUGCGUGGCUAGAGUGCAGUAGGGGCAGGUAGAAUUCCUGGUGUAGCGGUGAAAUGCGUAGAGAUCAGGAGGAACACCGGUGGCGAAGGCGGCCUGCUGG
rnacentral:rRNA from 1 species